UCCAGGCUGCAGACAUUGCUGCCCGGCCAGUCCUGGGCUUGGUUCUAAGUGUUACUUGCAGCCCUUCAGAGAAUGCCCAUUCCAUUAACGCUGGGUGAACACCGCUCACAAAAGGCAAUAACCAAGUCUGCAGCUGGCGGGAGACAUUUGAGAUGGCACACCACCAAGUCAUGCUCUCCAGGAGACACCAGACAGACAGGCCAGCGCUACACGGAGCUGACCCAGACGGCAGAAGACAGGAUGAAUUGAGCCACCUGACCUUUUCUGGAAAGAGGCAAGAGAAGGAAUGUUUCCUCCUUCAGUAAAAGACACUCAGACACAUGUCCAGUGUCACGGUGCAAAAGGGUCAGGAAACCAAGUCCCCUCCCAUCCCAAAGCCCCAUUUCCCUUCCACAUUGCUGGUGUCUUUUGUCCUUCCAGAGAGCCCCAGCACAGAGCAGCAAAUAUGAGCUUAGUGAUUCCUGGAGAGGGCUGUGUCCCAUGAAUGGACUGCCACUUGCUGGCUGCUGGCUUUACGUCUACAGGCAAAGGAUGUUAUGAAAUAGCUCCGGAAGUUUCUUUUGGGGGCCCCCAGCACCUCUUCUCCUAUCACGACCAGGCUCUGAAAAUGAGGCUUCUUGCUCAGGGAAGAGAACAGGUACAGAGGAAUCCACACUCAGCUUUGAGCAUCAAAAUAAGGGUUUUUAAGGUUUAAGUGUUUGAUGAGACAGUGGUCUUGAAAGCCAGGCUUUCCUGGAAUUCCCAGAGCCACACGUGACCUGACCACAGUGGAAAUCAGACAGGGGACACGUGCAAGAUGCAGCCCUGGGGACAGAAAGGCAAACAGCAAGGAGGCGGCUGCAAGAGGGACUUGGGGGAGGUGACAGAGGUGACCAUCUUGCUACGACCCCACCGGGUGGAGAGAUGGAGACGGGGAAAGCAAACAAAACCCACACAAACAACAACAGAAAACCUGCUCUCAGGGCCGCGUAAUGACCGGUGCCCUUUUGUACAGAAGCCCCGCCAGGUUUUGAACUUCAAGCAGGUCCGUGGGGGAAGAAAAGGGCCCAGUCCCAUGGAAAUUUCCUAGUAGGGUUUAUUUUGAAGCAAAGGUUUGGCAGACGUGACCCAGUCUCCUUGGCUAGACAGGGCCUCUUUGAAAAGAGUCAAAAACAGCAGAAAGAUGGGAAGUGGUCCUAGAAUGAGCUGGUUUUAGUGGAAUCUUCUUCUUCCAAAAAGAACCGCCAGAGGCCAGCCCAGGCCUCCCUUGCUUUCCAGAAUUCAACUCAACUCACCUGUGGCCCGAUGAGCUCGGCGAUUCAGCUCGCCCUAAUUCCCCAAACCUGUGCAGGUUACCUGACGUGGCAAAAGGCACUUUGCAGGUGGGGCAAGGGGCACCUUGCCAUAGGGAGGGUAACCCGGGUCAUCCAGGUGGACCUAAUCGAGUCACACGAGUCCUUAGAAUCAGAGAACCUUUCUGAGCUGCGGUCGGAGGGAGCCGUGGUGGAACCUUUCUGAGCUGUGGUCAGAGGGAGCCGUGAUAGAACCUUUCCGAGGGUGCUGUGAUUACCGAAGCAGCAGCAGAGAUGCAACAUUGCCGGCUCUGAAGGUGGACGAAGCGGCCAGGAGCCAUGGGAUGCCAGUGACCUCUGGACGCUGGAAAAGGCAGGGAAACAGAUUCUCCCCCAGAACCCCCAGAAGUUACCAGCCCUGUUGACCGUGACCCAAGCCCAGGGAGACUGAGGCUGGGUUUCUGACCUGUGGAACCGUAAAUGACAAAUGAGGUUUUUAAGCUGCUAAGUCUGUGGACAUUUGUUACAGAACCCGUCGAAAAUCCACCCGUCAUCUUUCUUGAGCUCCUAUGUGGCCGUUCCUGGGAUGUGAUUCCUAAUCCUCGUGACCACCUGUGAGACUGGGCCUGUGAUCCCCAGUUCACAGAUGGGGAAACUGAGGCUCUCUGAGAUGAACUGACGCCCCUUGGGGACCUGAGCAGGGACGGGAACUCCAGGCUGACUCCAAGCUGCGUGGACCUCCGGCUGCCUACAGGUGAGGUGUGUGUCUAACUGCCUCUCAGGGGAGAGGCUGGGACUUGGUGACAGCCUGUGCGGAAAGUGCUGGCACAGAGGAGGGGUUCAGGCCACGUCAGUCCUCUCGCCCCUUUUCCCAAACAUCUGCUGACACAGCUCCAUUCUGGCUGCUAAUUGGGUGACAGAUUCUUCCUGAUUGCCACUACAAAGCUAUUAUAAAAUCAACCCUGGCCGGGCGUGGGGCUCAUGCUGUAAUCCCAGCACUUUGGGAGGCCAAGGCAGGAAGACUGCUUGAGGCUAGGAGUCCAAGACCAGCCUGAGCAACAUAGCGAGAGCCCAUCUCUACAAAAACAAUUUUUAAAAAUGAGCCAGGUAGGGUGGUGCACACCUGUGGUCCCAGCUACUUGGGGUGUUGAGGUGGAAGAAUCACUUUAGCCGGGGAGGGCA
rnacentral:lncRNA from 1 species